rnacentral:rRNA from 1 species
UAGGGAAUCUUCCGCAAUGGGCGAAAGCCUGACGGAGCAACGCCGCGUGAGUGAUGAAGGUCUUCGGAUCGUAAAACUCUGUUAUUAGGGAAGAACAAAUGUGUAAGUAACUAUGCACGUCUUGACGGUACCUAAUCAGAAAGCCACGGCUAACUACGUGCCAGCAGCCGCGGUAAUACGUAGGUGGCAAGCGUUAUCCGGAAUUAUUGGGCGUAAAGCGCGCGUAGGCGGUUUUUUAAGUCUGAUGUGAAAGCCCACGGCUCAACCGUGGAGUGUCAUUGGAAACUUGAAAACUUGAGUGCAGAAGAGGAAAGUGGAAUUCCAUGUGUAGCGGUGAAAUGCGCAGAGAUAUGGAGGAACACCAGUGGCGAAGGCGACUUUCUGGUCUGUAACUGACGCUGAUGUGCGAAAGCGUGGGGAUCAAACAGG